AUGGUGUCCGUACGGCGCAAAGCGUCAGGGCUGAAACGGGAAUGAGGAACGGCGGACCCAAUUGCGGCGUCGAGACCUCAACCGCCCCCGCGACUGUGAGUGGCGAGCGGCUUUCCAAUCCACUGUCGGGCAACUGUCCGGUGGGAAGGGGAAAGUUGGCUGUGACCCACGAGUCAGGAGACCGGCCAUGUGGA
rnacentral:ncRNA from 1 species